GCAACAUGCAUGCAAAACUAUCCU
rnacentral:siRNA from 1 species